GGGCGGGUAGCUCAGCGGGAGAGCAUCUGCCUUACACGCAGAGGGUCGUAGGUUCGAAACCUAUCCCGCCCA
rfam:Synergistes sp. 3_1_syn1 genomic scaffold supercont1.8, whole genome shotgun sequence.